ACUGGUCCAAUAUUGUUCUUUAUGUGGAACCCUCUAGAAAGUAAACAGCUGGUGCGGUGUUAUUUUCAUGGAGCCCUCUCACCAUUGUUAAUUGUUAAUUGUUUAAGCUUCUUCCAUUUAAAGAGUUGGAAGCAACAAAUCAUGGAUUGAGAAGUCUUGUAUGAUAUCAGGAUUCAGUAAGAUUUUCUGUGGGUUUGGCUAAGUGUAAAGCUUGAAAGCAGCAGUUUGAGCUUUCUCUUUUCACUAAUCCAAAAUUUGGAACCAAUUGAUCUUUAACCAGAGCUAGUGUUAUUGAUCAGAUUUGUCAAAUUCAGAAAGUUUUGUGAUAUCUGAUUUCACAAUCUAUGAGACUAAUGUUGCUAUUUUUUAUUUUGAUUGUGUAAGAUUUUUUUAUCAUCAUCGUUUCAGAUUACAAUCCGUGAUCCAUCAACAGAAUGUUAGAGAGCUAAAGGAAGGAAGUUUGUUAGAUCUUGUUUUGCUCAAGAAAUCAAGAAAUCCAAGGCAGUUGAUGAAAUCUGCAGAGUUUCAAUUUCUUCAUCUGAGGAGAAUUUACCUUGUAUGGGCUUAAGUUUUUCUCUUCAGGAAUUUGCUUUGAAUUUCUAGUUGCAGGGACAGGAUGAUUCUACUGGGAUUGUUGGCAGAACUGUUGCAGAAGUAUAUAACUAGAGUUUUGGGUUCUCAAAUUACAGUCACUGAAUCUAUUCUCCCUGUAAUGCCCAGAUUAAUAGCAUCAACAAGCUAUCCAGUUCUCAUAAGUUUCUAAGGCUUAAUGCAAUCUUAUGCUACAAACUCGAUUGUUCUGGUCAUUGAUUAAAUUCAAAAUCCCAAAACUAUGCUUAGAUGUAGAAGAUUGUUCUGUUCAUUUGUUAGAAGGUGAUUUGAAGAGGAGAUCGUUUCAAACCUCACGAAGAAUUGAACUUCAAUUUGUUUCAAUGAUUUUGCAGAACUAAAUAAUUUUGUUACUGAAAUUGGGAUUUUGCUGUAAAUUAUAAGGAUACCCAUUGUUGCUGUGA